UUCGCAAUGCCCGAAAGGGUGACGAAGCGACGCCGCGUGUGGGAAGAAGGCCUUCGGGUUGUAAACCACUGUCGGGAGUUAAGAAGUGUAGUGAUGUUAAUAGCAUCGCUACUUGACUAAGGCUCCGGAGGAAGCCACGGCUAACUCUGUGCCAGCAGCCGCGGUAAUACAGAGGCGGCAAGCGUUGUUCGGAAUUAUUGGGCGUAAAGAGCACAUAGGCGGCUUUGUAAGUUGGUUGUGAAAGCCUUCCGCUCAACGGGAGAACGGCAGUCGAUACUGCAUAGCUUGAGUGCGGGAGGGGAGAGUGGAACUUCUGGUGGAGCGGUGAAAUGCGUAGAUAUCAGAAGGAACGCCGGCGGCGAAAGCGGCUCUCUGGCCCGUAACUGACGCUGAGUGUGCGAAAGCUAGGGGAGCAAACGGGAUUAGAUACCCCGGUAGUCCUAGCCGUAAACGAUGGGCACUAAGUAGAGGGGUUUU
rnacentral:rRNA from 2 species